UUCAGCAAAUGUUUUCGGUAACCAGAGGCCAGAAGGAAAGGAAAUGUGAGUGCUUCAGUUAAGCUUUGAGUGUGGCUCUGACAGCUCUUCAGCACCUCUGUCGUGUUAUAAAUAGGAAUUUGGUGGAAAUUUAGUACACAUGGAACUUACAAAAGGGGGUUGAGCAAGGCUGAUGAUGGCUUCUACUGCAUUUAAGAAAGCAUUUGUCCUUACGUUACCAGAAAAGGGUCCUGAUCGAGACCCCAAGAGAGGGUUCUUGGAUCUUGUGCAAAGAAGAAUUCGAGGCAAGUACAUAAAGUGAGAGCAAGUUUAUUAAGAAAGUAAAGGAAUAAAAGAAUGGCUACUCUGUAGGCAGAGCAGCCCUUAGGGUUGCUGGUUGGCUAUUUUUAGAGUUAUUUCUUGAUUAUACAUGAAACAAGGGUGGAUUAUUUGUGAGUUUUCUGAGAAAGAGACAGGCAAUUCCUGGAACUGAGGGUUUCUCCCCUUUUUAGACCACAUAGGGUAAUUUUCUGACCUGCCAUGGCAUUUGUAAACUGUCAUGGUGCUGGUGGGAGUGUAAUUAGCAUAUAAUGAGCAGUGAGGAAGACCAGAUGUCACUUUCAUCGCCAUCUUGGUUUUGGUGAGUUUUGGCCAGCUUCUUCACCACAUCAUUUUCUCAGCAAAGUCUUUAUGACCUGUACCUUUUGCCAACCUCCUAGCCCAUCCUGUGACUUAGAAUGCCUGACCUCCUGGGAAUGCAGCCCAGUAGGUCUCAGUCUUAUUUUACCAGCCCCUGUUCAAGAUGGACUUGCUCUGGUUCAAACGCCUCUGACAUACAGUAUAAUAAGUCCUACCAUGAUGAAAUUCUUCUGAGCUCCAAAAUACAGUAGGUUGCAAGGAUUUUCUUUCAGUAGGGUUUCAUGCUAAAGAUGUUUUGACAUCCUUCACACCAAUUCCUCAUUGCAAAGAAUGUGACAUUCACGUCUUGGACUUGCUUGAAUUUACAGUGCCUUCAGCAUUCCUUGAAGAUAUCCAAGAAAGAUGCAGUCCACCCUCCAAGUAUUGAUUUCUAAUCUCAGGAAAAAGGAAACCAUUAAAGAACAUAAUCCUACAAAAGGAAAAAGUGCGCCAAGAAAAGUGAAGGAUGUGGAAAUCCAGAAAUGGAGAUCAUAAGGUGAUGGUGAAGAAAUAUUUCAGGAUGUCAACUGCACAGCAGCCCUAAAGACCGCAUCAAAACAGGGUGAUGGAGGGAUCCGGCAGGAAGGUCUUUAGAGAAAAAAAAAACGGAACAAAGAAAUUAUAUGUUUGAGUUUUGGAAAAGCUGUCAGUGGGCACUGGCAGAUCUAAUGGAUAAAAUUAAGGACUGCACUCUUUGAAGGUGAGAUGUUUAUUUUCCAUGGCUGGAAAGUUUCCUACAUCCCUACCCACUACACAUGAC